rnacentral:rRNA from 1 species
UACAGAGGAUGCAAGCGUUAUCCGGAAUGAUUGGGCGUAAAGCGUCUGUAGGUGGCUUUUUAAGUCCGCCGUCAAAUCCCAGGGCUCAACUCUGGACAGGCGGUGGAAACUACCAAGCUUGAGUACGGUAGGGGCAGAGGGAAUUUCCGGUGGAGCGGUGAAAUGCGUAGAGAUCGGAAAGAACACCAACGGCGAAAGCGGUGAGCUGGGCAGUUGCUGACACUGAGGCGCGACAGCGUGGGGAGCAAACAGG